rnacentral:rRNA from 1 species
AGAGUUUGAUCAUGGCUCAGGACGAACGCUGGCGGCGUGCCUAAUACAUGCAAGUCGAGCGAAUGAAUGGGAGCUUGCUCCCUGACAUUAGCGGCGGACGGGUGAGUAACACGUGGGCACCUGCCUAUAAGACUGGGAUAACUUCGGGAAACCGGAGCUAAUACCGGAUACGUUCUUCUCUCGCAUGAGAGAAGAUGGAAAGAUGGUUUCGGCUGUCACUUAUAGAUGGGCCCGCGGCGCAUUAGCUAGUUGGUGAGGUAACGGCUCACCAAGGCCACGAUGCGUAGCCGACCUGAGAGGGUGAUCGGCCACACUGGGACUGAGACACGGCCCAGACUCCUACGGGAGGCAGCAGUAGGGAAUCUUCCGCAAUGGACGAAAGUCUGACGGAGCAACGCCGCGUGAGCGAAGAAGGCCUUCGGGUCGUAAAGCUCUGUUGUUAGGGAAGAACAAGUACCAGAGUAACUGCUGGUACCUUGACGGUACCUAACCAGAAAGCCACGGCUAACUACGUGCCAGCAGCCGCGGUAAUACGUAGGUGGCAAGCGUUGUCCGGAAUUAUUGGGCGUAAAGCGCGCGCAGGUGGUUUCUUAAGUCUGAUGUGAAAGCCCACGGCUCAACCGUGGAGGGUCAUUGGAAACUGGGGAACUUGAGUGCAGAAGAGGAAAGGAAUUCCACGUGUAGCGGUGAAAUGCGUAGAGAUGUGGAGGAACACCAGUGGCGAAGGCGACUUUCUGGUCUGUAACUGACACUGAGGCGCGAAAGCGUGGGGAGCAAACAGGAUUAGAUACCCUAGUAGUCC